rnacentral:rRNA from 1 species
AGGACGAACGCUGGCGGCGUGCUUAACACAUGCAAGUCGAGCGGAAAGGCCCUUCGGGGUACUCGAGCGGCGAACGGGUGAGUAACACGUGAGCAACCUGCCCCUGGCUCUGGGAUAGCCUUCGGAAACGGGGAUUAAUACCGGAUAUUCACUGCUUCCUGCAUGGGGGGUGGUGGAAAGUUUUUCGGCUGGGGUGGGCUCGCGGCCUAUCAGCUUGGUUGGUGGGGUAGUGGCCUACCAAGGCGACGACGGGUA